rnacentral:rRNA from 1 species
AGNANAAGCAUUACCGCGANUGCGAAUGGCUCAUUAUAUAAGUUAUCGUUUAUUUGAUANUACUUUACUACUUGGAUAACCGUGGUAAUUCUAGAGCUAAUACAUGCUAAAAACCCCGACUUCGGAAGGGAUGUAUUUAUUAGAUUAAAAACCAACGCCCUUCGGGGCUCCCUGGNGAUUCCUAAAAACUUCCCCAAACCCAUGGCCCCCCCCCCGCNAAGGGUCCUUCCAAUUUCCUCCCCAUCCACUUUCCAAGCCAGGGUCUUGGCCCUAUGGUUGCAACGGGGUNCGGGAUNAAAUUNGGANCCAUCGCCGGCGCGGGAUGNCGAUUAGAAGUUUUAUAAAUCANGGNGGNCCCGCGGGGGGUNGUNUUUAAUAAUAUAAAAAACCCUUCUCAAGACGGGGGUAUUUGCGGNUGUUUCCUGAAUUUCCGGGGNCCNGGUGUANAGGUACUAAANGGAUUCUUAUAUGAAGCGGUGGGUUAUUGGUGAUUAUNGUAGGGNGANUCGNGGUAUGACAACAU